rnacentral:rRNA from 1 species
UACGUAGGGUGCGAGCGUUAAUCGGAAUUACUGGGCGUAAAGCGUGCGCAGGCGGUUUUGUAAGCCAGAUGUGAAAUCCCCGGGCUUAACCUGGGAAUGGCAUUUGGGACUGCAAGGCUUGAGUGCGGCAGAGGAGACUGGAAUUCCUGGUGUAGCAGUGGAAUGCGUAGAUAUCAGGAGGAAUACCGAUGGCGAAGGCAGGUCUCUGGGCUGACACUGACGCUCAUGCACGAAAGCGUGGGGAGCAAACAGG